rnacentral:tRNA from 1 species
GGGGAUAUGGCUCAGUAGCAGAGUGCUUGCCUAGCAUGCAUGAGGCCCUGGGUUUGAUUCCCUGGUACCACA